rnacentral:rRNA from 1 species
CCUACGGGACGCAGCAGUGGGGAAUAUUGCACAAUGGGGGGAACCCUGAUGCAGCGACGCCGCGUGAGUGAAGAAGUAUUUCGGAUUGUAAACUGCUUUAGACAGGGAAGAAAGAAAUGACGGUACCUGUAGAAUAAGCUCCGGCUAACUACGUGCCAGCAGCCGCGGUAAUACGUAGGGAGCAAGCGUUAUCCGGAUUUAUUGGGUGUAAAGGGUGCGUAGACGGGUAUACAAGUUAGUAGUGAAAUCCCUCGGCUUAACUGAGGAACUGCUACUAAAACUAUAUAUCUUGCGUACUGGAGGGG